GACGAACGCUGGCGGCGUGCUUAACACAUGCAAGUCGAACGGAAAGGCCUUGCUUUUGUCGUGUGCUCAAGUGGCGAACGGGUGAGUAACACGUGAGUAACCUGCCCUUGACUUUGGGAUAACUUCAGGAAACUGGGGCCAAUACCUGCUACAUGCGCCCUCUUCUCGGCGUGGGGUGGAAAGUUUCGGCGGUUGGGGCAGGACUCGUGGCACAUCAGCAUGGUGGUGGGGUAGUGGCUUACCAUGGCGUUGACGAGUAGCCAGCCUGGGACGGUGACCGGGCACAUUGGGAUUGAGAAGCGGCCCAGACUGCUACGGGAGGCAGCGAUGGAGAAUAUUGCACGAUGGGCGGAAGCCUGAUGCAGCAACGCCGCGUGGGAGAUGACGGCCAUCGGGGUGUAAACCGCUUUUGCCUGUGACGAAGAGUGAGUGACGGUAAUGGGUAAAGAAGCAACGGCUAACUACGUG
rnacentral:rRNA from 1 species